AUUCAAUGGAGUGCCCAUAAAAAUCCGAUGAUUGUCGUCUUGUCUUCUCAGAAUCUCAUUGUUCCGUUAAAAACAAUCUUCCAAAACAUGACUCAACUCUUGAUGAGCUCAAAAAAUCCCGCAUACCUCUCAAUAUAUGAUUUUCUAACCACACUAUGGUCAUGGCAUUGUUGGUUUCGACUCCCACAAGCACAAGAUCAGCUCUUUACAAACAAUCUUCUUCUUCAAUUUCACGCUAUAAAAUCCCCACAAUUUGGUAUCUCCACGAGGAUUCUUCAGCUGGGUAUCGGUCCUUUCUCUCAAUGGAGUGGUCUAAAGCAUCUGGGUGUCUCUAUUACUCCAAAAUCUUUGAAGAAUGAGAGGAAGUGCAGGUGUAAAGGUCGAGUGGUUCAAGCAUCUUUGUUUGGG
rnacentral:misc_RNA from 1 species